rnacentral:rRNA from 1 species
AUACGGAGGAUCCGAGCGUUAUCCGGAUUUAUUGGGUUUAAAGGGUGCGCAGGCGGCCAUUCAAGUCAGCGGUUAAAUCGUGGGGCUCAACCCCAUUCUGCCGUUGAUACUGGGUGGCUUGAUUGCGGUCGAGGUUGGCGGAAUUCGUUGUGUAGCGGUGAAAUGCAUAGAUAUGACGAAGAACACCGAUUGCGUAGGCAGCUGACCAGACCGCAAAUGACGCUCAUGCACGAAAGUGCGGGGAUCGAACAGGAUUAGAUACCCUGGUAGUCCGCACAGUAAACGAUGAAUACUUGUUUUCGGCGAUAUAAUGUCGGAGGCAAAGCGAAAGCGAUAAGUAUUCCACCUGGGGAGUACGCCGGCAACGGUGAAACUCAAAGGAAUUGACGGGG